UAUAUACUCCCUCCGUCCGAAAAUACUUUUCAUCAAAAUGGAUAAAAAGAGAUGUAUAUCAAACUAAAAUACGUCUAAAUACAUCCCCUUUUAUUCAUUUUGAUGGCAAGUUUUUCCGGACGGAGGGAGUACAAG
rfam:Triticum aestivum genome assembly, contig: Triticum_aestivum_CS42_TGACv1_scaffold_404830_5BL